rnacentral:lncRNA from 1 species
UUCAUCAACUACCUCUUUCCUACUUCACAUCCGUGAUGAGAGAGGAGCCACAGGUGUGAGAGGACUGAGAGGCACCAGGCUCACUCUGCAUCCGCCUGUGCUCAGCUGGACAGGAUCAAUCUAUUCUCUGGGCAAGAACCCUGUGAUGUAAACUGAGAAAGGGCAGGAGAUAAGCAGGGCGGUACUAACUCAAGGGCAGCAGGCAACGGUGCGGGGUUGGGUCAGGGGAAAAUGACGCAUUAGGACUUGCUGUACUUCUCCUGUCCUCUAGAUGGCAGCAGCGGAACGAAAUAGAGAAAACCUGUUUCCAUAGAAACAGUCCGCGUCUUCUACACAAAAAUAAUCUUAGGGCGUUAUUUGAAACAAGGUCUUUAAGUUGUUUUCUAUAGACACCGAGGUACUUCUGUGGUGUUUCAAGAGUGAAAAAUCAGUACACAAACAUCCUAAAGAUUGUUCAGCUCCUCAGGCCACCAAUAAUCGACAUCAGUAUGGAUUUUCUCUUAUACCAAGAAUACCUCUGAGAUAUGCUUUGUAGUGUCUCACAGAUUUACAUCUGGAAGCUGAGACAUCAACACUGAAUGUGAAAUGUAGUUUGAAAGUUAACGGAAACCCCUCCUAUGAAAGACCAAGUAAUUGCAUGAGUAAACAGGAAAUGAACCUGCAGUACAGAGGGCAGAACCCAUCACACCACAAGAAGGCUGAAAGCUCUUGGUGGCUUCAAAAAAGAACUUCCAGAGACUGUAGCUUACCCAGAGGUUAUAUUUUUAUUUUUGCACGCAUCCAGGCUGUGGUACCAAGGAUCUCUAAGGGUUUGAUACCUCAAAAAGUUACACCUCUGUAUUCAUAGACAAAUUUAGGAUGUGCCAUUCUGUCUGCCUCCAAGUCUCUCAAAGGUGCCAUUUGGAUCCAAUGGAAUGAUUUUAGUGCUGGAAUAAAAAGCAUGCAUAU